UCCGCAGGUGGCUAUGUAAGUCUGCUGUUAAAGAACCUAGCUUAACUAGGUAAAAGCAGUGGAAACUACAAGGCUAGAGUGCGUUCGGGGUAGAGGGAAUUCCUGGUGUAGCGGUGAAAUGCGUAGAUAUCAGGAAGAACACCAGUGGCGAAGGCGCUCUACUAGGCCGCAACUGACACUGAGGGACGAAAGCUAGGGGAGCGAAUG
rnacentral:rRNA from 1 species